AUGCAUGCAGCCAGAGUUUGAAGAGUCUAAAGGUGUGCAGAAAGACAUUAGUUCAGUGGAAAUGACAGAGAAUCAAAAGUUGGCAUUAACUAAACAGGUAAGGCUACCUACCUUGUAUAAAAUGAUGAUUUUUCUCGGUUUCCUUCGUCCUUCCCUCACCCUUUGCUAGCAUGCAGCCAGAGUUUGAAGUCUCUAAAGUUGUGCAGAAAGACAUUAGUUCAAUGGAAAUAACAAAGAGUCAAGAAUCAGCAUUAACUAAACAGGUAACGCAAGCUACAUUUGUGCAUCUGCCUGUAAAUUUGAGUCUAUGAUUUCCCUUGCUUUUUUCAUCGCAUUUACUUGCAUGUUCACUAAUUUUUGUUUCUAAUACUACAGUUGCAGUUUGGACAACUGGAACCUGACUUCAGUCAGUCAGGAAACAGAACAACUGCUCCACUGGAUUUCACUGGAACGACACCUACAUGGUUUGCAGCUAGUGGUCUUCCUGAUGUAUUACCAUCUAACAACAUCCAAAAGGAGUGGACUUGUGCUGUAUGUCAGGUAACAACCACAAGCGAAGCAGACCUUAUUUCCCAUCUUCAUGGAAGGCGACACGAGUCUGCUUGUGAGAAGCUGAAAGCCUACAACCAAACAUCGAAAAGCAAGGUUUCCUCAGCUUCAGCUAUGGAAAAUGCAAAUGCUGCAGAAAGUAGAGGCAACUCACCUGAUACUAAGCAAACCCACAAGCCAUGGACUUGUGCUACAUGUCAUGUAACAACCACAAAUAAAGCAGAUCUUGUUUCCCAUUUUCAAGGAUUGCGACAUAAGGACGCUUUGGAGAAACUGAAAGCGAAAUUUCAGACAUCUGAAGACAAAACUCAUUCUGCUUUAGCAGCAAUAGCUGGUAGAGAUGUUCCUAACAUUCCAUGGACUUGUGCUGUAUGUCAGCUAAAAAUCACAAAUUUGGCAAGCCUUGUUUCGCAUCUCGAAGGAAGGCGACAUGAGGAUGCUUGCAAGAGCUAUCAAGCCAAGAUCAAUAGUAUAAAAUCAUUGCGGUGUACCAUAUGUAAUAUAAGCUGCAGCAGUGAAGGAAACAUGAAAUCUCACCUUAUGGGGAGCAAGCACUUGACCAAUACUGGAGCUCAACAGCAGACUUGAUUCAUGACACUGCUGCAUGGAGAAAUUUUACAGUACAACUGUGUUGUAUGAUAUAAAUUUUCCGGUGCAUGUAGACUAUAUAUUUGUGUGUAGGAAGAACUAGCUAUGGAUUUGUGGGCUCUUAUAUAAGACUCGAUCAACUACCCAGAAUUUGACUCUGAAUCGUAAUCUGUAUCCUACUACUUCAUUUCUGGUUGUAUUUAUAAAAGUUCAGGGCAACCUACCUGAUCUUUGAACUCGUUCAACAUCUAAAUUCGUUUUGAAUCGGAUAGAAGUUUAUUAUUUUUAAAUUAUCUAAAAUCUUUUUAAAAUCAAUUUUUAUUACUCAAAAAAUAUCCGAAUCCAUUUAAUUUUUCAAAAUUUAUUUUAACAAUUCAUAUAAAAUAUAAUUUAAAAGGUUAAUUUAUAUUUUAAAAUUUUAAUAAUUAAAUAAAAUAUUAAAUUAUAUUUAUAUCAUGUAUAGUGUAAAAAAGUUUUAAAUAUUAAUAAAAAAUAUAUUUAAUCAUUUAUUUAUAUAUAUAUAAUUUGAUAAAAUAUAUUCAAGUCUGAUAAAAUCGAAUGGGCCAAACCUGUCAGUGCAGAGGAUGUGUGGGCUUUCGGAUGAUAAGCCUUUAUCGCAGGCUUGGCCUUUGACCGGGAUGGAAAAACCCAGCGGUCAUCAACAGUAAUCGUGUAAGUUUAGUCAGAGAGAAAAAUAUUUCUCCAUUUUUAUUUCUUUCCAUUUAUCUGCUAGUGACACCUAACGGCCUGUCUAUUACAGUGCCGCCUGUUUAUGUCACGCGGGUCCAUACAUACGAAAAUGUCAGUGCCUCCUUCACUAUACCAGGCGAUUAUUUAAUUCCCCCCGACGCACAGGUGGGCAGGACUGCGACUUUUACUUGCUGAAUCUAUACUCGCGGGUGACCCCUGUAUCUGAAUCAAGGUUGGAGAUGCUGGCCCGAUCGUUUAAGGAGGAUUUCAUGGACUUAGAGCUGGCACUGUCUUCUUGAAUCCGGUCUGAUCAUUUAAGGAAGAUUUCAUGGACUUAGAGCUGGCACUUCUUCUUGAAUCCGGCCUAAUGUUGGAGUGGCAAAAUCCGACGGUCAUCAUUAAUUAAAUAUAAAUAAUUAAAUGCAUAUGAGAAUAUGAGAAUCAAAUGCAUAAAAUUGAUAUUGAAUUAACAUUAAUUUAUAGUAAUUCUAUUUAUAGUAAUAAAUAUAAUUAAAAAUUUUAAUUACAUGAAAAUAAUCUAAAUUUUAAUAUCACAUCUAAAUCUUAUUAUACAUUUAAAUAUUACAUUAGCUUAACAAUCAUGAUUUAUUUAGCUUAACAAUCAUGAUUUUAAAUUUAUAGACUACGCAAAUUAUUCUAAUAAAAGACCUUAAGAGUUUUAAAUUUUAAAUAUUGUGAAUUUUACCUCUAUCAAUUCUCAUGCGAAUGUGAAUAUAAAUGUGAAUAUAUUUAUGAAUAAAGAAUUUUUUUCGUAUAUCAUUGAAUGUGAGCGGAGAAAAUAUCUUCUUUUAGUAUUACUUGUGAGUAGAGAAAUAUUCUCUUGGCAUUACUUUUAAAUGAUUCUUUUAUUCUGGUAUCGAAGAUUUAUUUUUUCCCGAGAAUGUGAAGGAGACUUCUCUUUUAUUGGCAUUGCCGACUUGGAUUUGUUACGGUAUUGAUAUGAAUUUAGUGUUUUUGGUUUUGGCUUGAUUUUUUGUUCAUAUGACUUUUUUUUUUCAUCGUUUUUUCUUUUUCUAUCUUAUAUUGAAUCUCUCAAUCACACAAGUUCCUUCUCUUGAUAAAAUUGCUAUGAUACCCAUUAUUGAUUUUUGGAGGAAAAGAAAAAUAAGAGAAUCAAAUGCAUAAAAUUGACAUUAAUUUUAUUCAUGAUACUGUUAUUUAUAGUAGCAGAAUCAGUUUCACUUUGCUGAAACAGGUCGAAAUUAACAAAGAAAUGGGUAAGGCCAGUGUUCACCGAAUGCUGAUAACAUGAUAAAUUCAAGGAGGCUGACGUGAGAGUUGAUGGGGGUGAUAAGAGCUUGGAGCUCGUCUUGGCACGAGGGAAAAGAACGAGAAGAAAGGCCUAAGCCCUCUAAGCCUCUUUUGCAGGCCACUGCUCCAAAUUCAAAUCCUAAAAAAUUAUCACUUGCCCAAAGAUGACCACUUUCAGCUAAGCCAAUCUUUAAAUUUCCUUUCAUAAUUUGUUUUUAAUUCUUUCUUUUUACGGGAAACUGAUAGAAAUUAGUACGGGAAAACAGAACUUGUCCCCAAGUUUAACGUUUUCCACGCUGAUUCUGCCAAACAUAAUUUAUUUAAAAAAAUUCUUUAUUGUUCACUUAAUCCCUUAAUAAAACUAAGAUGUAAAAUUCCUAUUAUUAUAUUUUUAAAGCCUAUUUUUUUUAAUUUUAUAAUUUUCUGGUAAUUUAACCCUAAUUAUCUAUCAUUAGUAUUAAUUUUUAAAAUUAAAUUUAUUUUAAAUUCAAUUAUAUAAUAUCUAAAUUCAUUUGCGGAGUAAAAUCAAGUACUUUAAUUUGUAAUUAGUCAAUAAAAUUAGGUAUAGUGAACGCUUUUUCCCAAACCGAAACGUCCUUUGGGGCCACGAGAGUCAACUAUAUGCGAGUUUGUGAAAGAGAUUUUGACUUUUCAAGGGGAAACCAUAUGUAAACAAACGGACAUUCUAGGAUUUCGCUCUCCAAAAAAAUCUAUUUACAUCAAAUUUAUAAGUAUUUAUAAUAUAAAAUUAUAAUAAAAUAUAUUUAAAAAAACUCUUUACUUAGCUUAAAAGAAAAUUAUCCUUCAUUUUCGUAGAUUUUCCUAAUAAUAAUUAGGUAAAUAAAUGAUAAACUAAUAAUAAUUAGGUAAAUAAAUGAUAAAUAAAUAAAAGAGAGGUUUUAUUUUGAUGAAUUAAAUCUAAAAAGUAAAAGAAAAUAAUAAUUUAAAUAAGUGAGAAUAUCAAUGGAAAAGAAAUUCUAGCUGACGUGGUUUGUUCAGAAUUGAUCAUUUAAGACUCCUAUUUUAUUUUAAUAAAUUAGUUUUAGUUGUGGAAAACGCUUCUUACAAUCAAAUUCCUCCUUAUAAUUUAAAAUAAAUAAUUAUAAAUAAUUAAAUUUUAUUAAUUUUAAUAAAUAUAUUUUAAAAUUUUUUAAUAAAUAUAUUUUAAAUUAAUAUUUUAAUUUGAUUUGAUAUUUAAUAUAUAUUCAAUUUAUUUAUAUUUUCAAAUCACAUAUUUUUAAAAGUUGAUAACUUAUUUUUUGAGAUUUUUUUAAUAAUUAUAAAUACAAAGUUUUAUAUAGUUAUAUGUUAAAAAUUGUUGUCAUAACAUUAUUUCUAGUGAAGUAAGAAUCCUGAUUUUUCUCUAUUUGAAAAAUUAAACUAGUCUGAAAAAUAAUAAUUAAUUUAAUAAAUUUAAACUGAUUAAAUUUAUUAGAGAAUAUAUAAAUUAUAAUCAUAAAUAAAAUUAAAUUUAACUAUUUUCAAUUAAUUUAACUUAAUUUUUAACUAAUUUUUCAUAAGGAAAAUCGUGAUUCUUGAUUUAAUAAAUAUAAUAUUAUCAUAAUACUUAUCGUCACUUAUAAUUAUUAUACUUAUUAUUGUAAAAAAAAUCAAAAAAUAAAUUAUUGGCUUUUAAAAAUAUUUCAUUCAAAAUUAUAAAUAAAUGGAAUCAACAUUAGAAAUUAAAUAAAAAAAAUUCAUUUAUGAUGUAUUUAUUAAAAUAAAAAAUUUAGAAUAUAAUUAUUAAAAUUGAUAAUAUUUGAAAAUUUUUUUGCAAUUAUUUAUUUUAAGUUAUCAAAAUUUUAAUUUUUAAUACUGAAAUGGUUACGUGAUAUUUUUAUUAAAUUUAAUGGUUAAAUUUAAUAAUAAAUGUAAAUAAAUUUAAGUUAUUAAUUGAUAAUAUAGUAAUUAAUUUUAAAAUAUAUAUGUUAAAAUGCAAAUAUUAUCCCUAAAUUUAUUAUCUUGUGUUUGUAUAUAUGAAUUUACAUAUAUCUCUUAUUUAAAAUCAAUAAUUUCAUAAUAAUUUAAUUUAAUUAAUUAAUUAACUUUUUAUUAAUUUUAUUAUUUAAAAUUAAAAAUUUUAAUUCUUCUAAAUCUUCAAAAAAUUCAUAUUAAAAGAAAUAAAAAAACAAACAAUAUUGUAUAAAAAUUCAUUUCAAUUUGUUGUUAUAAAAUAGAUUGUUCCAAACCAAACUUAUAAAUGUUAAGAAAGUCGCCUAACCAAAAUUUAAUUGAGGGAGGAAAGUCGGCAUUUGGAAAAUCAAGUACGUCCUUGUGUGAAACUGCUUUGCAGGUUCCCACCAUACUUGCUUUUGCUUUUUCACUUAAACUGCAAAAUUUUUAUUCGUUUGCUUGGCCGUGUUGUUUAGGUGUUUGAGCAGCUUUUUAAUGGAGAUUUAAGCCAAUGAAUCUCUUCUUCAAGGGAUUCAUAUCCUUCCAAGAUGGGAAUAAUGGGUAGUUUCUUCAAGUUUUCAGGGCACUGCUUUGAUGUUCUUGCAUGGUAAGCAGAUUAUCAAUCUCCCAAGAAUUUGGAAUCUUGUCUUGAAAUCAUUACUUCCUCUUGUAUUUUGUUUCUGUUUGGAUCUUUUUCUUUCUUCUCAGUGAAGGAAUCUUCAGUUUCCCCUUUAUGAGCAUUAACAAUUAAGCACUUGACUUUACUGAUUUUAUCUUCCAAUUUUUUUCCCCAUUUUGCAAAAUUUCCCCUAAUUUUGAUUUUAGGUUUUGCUUACCAUUUUCUCUGAUUGGUUCUGUUCUUGCAGGCCCCUCUUUGCUCUGGUCUAUCCCUUGUAAGUCUUGGAAACUUUACUGAAUGCUACACUUAGUUCAAUUAUGCAUUAUUCUUUUAAUAUAAUCUGUUUUAUAUCUCUUCAGAAAUUUCAACUAUAAUGCAGAAAUUGAUUAUUUUGUAACUGAUUGUUAAUUCUUGUACUGAAUAGGUAUGCUUCCAUUCAAGCAAUUGAGACUAAUUCCAUCUCCGAUACCCAGAAGCUGAUUUCUUAUUGGGUCUGCUUUUCAUUGAUUUUGCUGUUUGAAAAUGCUUUUUCUGAGUUACUUGAAUGGUAAUAUUCUAUUCUUCAUUUUUCAGUUUCAAUGAUCAGCUUGAAUGGUCUGCUUUUCAGUUUCAAUGAUCAGUUUCUGGGUUAAUGAAUGGUCUGCUUCUCAGUUUCUGAUUUCAAUUUUUAUGCACUAUAUCCAUAAAUAGUUCUAACUGUAUACGAAUGAUAAUCAAAUAUUCACCCUUAUGGCUUGUAGAGGACCUACCUAUAUCUGCCAUGUGUGAACUUGCUCUUGAACUUACAUGUACGGACAAGCAUGAAAUUUUUUAGUCUAAUUCUGCUUUUUAAUUUAUACGCCUUACAGAAACUUUUCCCAUCUUAUGCAAUCAUGAAAAAGCUUCUGCAUUAAGGAUAUUUAUUGGUGUAAGCUUAAUAGGAUAUGGUAAUGAGUUUGUUUGGUUAUUAACAGAAGCUGAUCAUUAGUGGGUCUGCUUUCCGUUGGUUUUGCUCCUUGAACAUGUGUUUCUGAACCUAUUUCUAUGGUAAUUCUGCAUCUCAAUCUGUUGGAACUCAGUAAGAGUUAUUAUUUAAUUUCUUUUGCCUGUUGCAGCUUACCAUGGUGGACUUACAUUAAGGUUCUUAUUGUUGGCUGCUUGGUUACUCCUCACUUUGAGGGUUCUCUUUAUGUCUAUAAACACAUUGUUCAUCCAUGUCUCUCUAUCGACCUACACGUGCUCCUCAACGAAUUGGUCAACGUGAUGGCAGUCCUCAAGCAGGAGAAAGUUCUAGCAGAGGCGAAAAAUGCAAAGGAUACUGCAGGUGAAGCUUUGCAGAAUCUUACUGCUCUCAAGGUAUGCAAUCAGCAUCCUGUUCCAUUUUUGCAGAAUAGGCUAGUGAAUCAGAAUGCUAAUGCAGCAGACCAUUGAUACAUACUAGAAAUAUGAGAUGAUGAUCAUUAUCGGCUUCCUUCUUCCUCCCCUCACCCUUUGCUACAUGCAUGCAGCCAGAGUUUGAAGAGUCUAAAGGUGUGCAGAAAGACAUUAGUUCAGUGGAAAUGACAGAGAAUCAAAAAUUGGCAUUAACUAAACAGGUAAGGCUACCUACCUUGUAUAAAAUGAUGAUUUUUAUCGGUUUCCUUCGUCCUUCCCUCACCCUUUGCUAGCAUGCAGCCAGAGUUUGAAGUCUCUAAAGUUGUGCAGAAAGACAUUAGUUCAAUGGAAAUAACAAAGAGUCAAGAAUCAGCAUUAACUAAACAGGUAACGCAAGCUACAUUUAUACAUCUGCCUGUAAAUUUGAGUCUAUGAUUUCCCUUGCUUUUUUCAUCGCAUUUACUUGCAUGUUCACUAAUUUUUGUUUCUAUUACUACAGUUGCAGUUUGGACAACUGGAACCUGACUUCACUCCGUCAGGAAACAGAACGACUGCUCCACUGGAUUUCACAGGAACGACACCUACAUGGUUUGCAGCUAGAGGUCUUCCUGAUGUAUUAUUACCAUCUAACAACGUCCAAAACGAGUGGACUUGUGCUGUAUGUCAGGUUACAACCCCAAGCGAGGCAGACCUUAUUUCCCAUCUUCACGGAAGGCGACACGAGUCUGCUUGUGAGAAGCUGAAAGCCUACAACCAAACAUCCAAAAGCAAGGUUUCCUCAGCUUCAGCUAUGGAAAAUGCAAAUGCUGCAGAAAGUAGAGGAAACUCACCUGAUACUAAGCAAACCCACAAGCCAUGGACUUGUGCUACAUGUCAUGUAACAACGACAAAUAAAGCAGAUCUUGUUUCCCAUUUUCAAGGAUCGAGACAUAAGGACGCUUUGGAGAAACUGACAGCGAAAUUUCAGACAUCUGAAAACAAAACUCAUUCUGCUUUAGCAGCAAUAGCUGGAGAUGUUCCUAACAUUCCAUGGACUUGUGCUGUAUGUCAGGUAACAACCACAAGCGAGGCAGACCUUAUUUCCCAUCUUCACGGAAGGCGACAUGAGUCUGCUUGUGAGAAGCUGAAAGCCUACAACCAAACAUCGAAAAGAAAGGUUUCCUCAGCUUCAGCUAUGGAAAAUGCAAAUGCUGCAGAAAGUAGAGGCAACUCACCUGAUACUAAGCAAACCCACAAGCCAUGGACUUGUGCUACAUGUCAUGUAACAACCACAAAUAAAGCAGAUCUUGUUUCCCAUUUUCAAGGAUUGCGACAUGAGGACGCUUUGGAGAAACUGAAAGCGAAAUUUCAGACAUCUGAAGACAAAACUAAUUCUGCUUUAGCUGCAAUAGCUGGUAGAGAUGUUCCUAACAUUCCAUGGACUUGUGCUGUAUGUCAGCUAAAAAUCACAAAUUUGGCAAGCCUUGUUUCGCAUCUCGAAGGAAGGCGACAUGAGGAUGCUUGCAAUAGCUAUCAAGCCAAGAUCAAGAGUAUAAAAUCAUGGUGGUGUACCAUCUGUAAUAUAAGCUGCAGCAGUGAAGGAAACAUGAAAUCUCACCUUAUGGGGAGCAAGCACUUGACCAAUGCUCGAGCUCAACAGCAGACUUGAUUCAUGACACUGGUGCAUGGAGAAAUUUUACAGUACAACUGUGUUGUAUAAUAUAAUUUUUCCGGUGCAUGUAGACUAUAUAUUUGUGUGUAGGAAGACCUAGCUAUGGAUUUGUGAGCUCUUAUAUAAGACUUUGAUCAACUACCCAGAAUUUGGCUCUGAAUCGUAAUCUGUAUCCUAGAACUCCAUUUCUGGUUGUAUUUAUAAAAAUUCAGGGCACCCUACCUGAUCUUUGAACUCGUUUAAUAUAUUAACAUCUAAAUUCAUUUUGAAUCUGAUAGAAAUUUAUUAUUUUUAAAUUAUCUAAACUAAUUUUAAAAUCAAUUUUUAUUACUCGAAAAAUAUCAAAAUCCAUUUAAUUUUUUAAAAUUUAUUUUAACAAUUCAUAUAAAAUAUAAUUUAAAAGGUUAAUUUAUAUUUUAAAAUUUUAAUUAGUGUAAAAAAGUUAUAAAUAUUAAUAAAAAAUAUAUUUAAUCAUUUAUUUAUAUAAAUAAAUUUGGUAAAUAUAUUUAAUAUAUAAAAG
rnacentral:lncRNA from 1 species